GGUUAAGCGACUAAGCGUACACGGUGGAUGCCCUGGCAGUCAGAGGCGAUGAAGGACGUGCUAAUCUGCGAUAAGCGUCGGUAAGGUGAUAUGAACCGUUAUAACCGGCGAUUUCCGAAUGGGGAAACCCAGUGUGAUUCGUCACACUAUCAUUAACUGAAUCCAUAGGUUAAUGAGGCGAACCGGGGGAACUGAAACAUCUAAGUACCCCGAGGAAAAGAAAUCAACCGAGAUUCCCCCAGUAGCGGCGAGCGAACGGGGAGCAGCCCAGAGCCUGAAUCAGUGUGUGUGUUAGUGGAAGCGUCUGGAAAGGCGCGCGAUACAGGGUGACAGCCCCGUACACAAAAAUGCACAUGCUGUGAGCUCGAUGAGUAGGGCGGGACACGUGGUAUCCUGUCUGAAUAUGGGGGGACCAUCCUCCAAGGCUAAAUACUCCUGACUGACCGAUAGUGAACCAGUACCGUGAGGGAAAGGCGAAAAGAACCCCGGCGAGGGGAGUGAAAAAGAACCUGAAACCGUGUACGUACAAGCAGUGGGAGCACGCUUAGGCGUGUGACUGCGUACCUUUUGUAUAAUGGGUCAGCGACUUAUAUUCUGUAGCAAGGUUAACCGAAUAGGGGAGCCGAAGGGAAACCGAGUCUUAACUGGGCGUUAAGUUGCAGGGUAUAGACCCGAAACCCGGUGAUCUAGCCAUGGGCAGGUUGAAGGUUGGGUAACACUAACUGGAGGACCGAACCGACUAAUGUUGAAAAAUUAGCGGAUGACUUGUGGCUGGGGGUGAAAGGCCAAUCAAACCGGGAGAUAGCUGGUUCUCCCCGAAAGCUAUUUAGGUAGCGCCUCGUGAAUUCAUCUCCGGGGGUAGAGCACUGUUUCGGCAAGGGGGUCAUCCCGACUUACCAACCCGAUGCAAACUACGAAUACCGGAGAAUGUUAUCACGGGAGACACACGGCGGGUGCUAACGUCCGUCGUGAAGAGGGAAACAACCCAGACCGCCAGCUAAGGUCCCAAAGUCAUGGUUAAGUGGGAAACGAUGUGGGAAGGCCCAGACAGCCAGGAUGUUGGCUUAGAAGCAGCCAUCAUUUAAAGAAAGCGUAAUAGCUCACUGGUCGAGUCGGCCUGCGCGGAAGAUGUAACGGGGCUAAACCAUGCACCGAAGCUGCGGCAGCGACGCUUAUGCGUUGUUGGGUAGGGGAGCGUUCUGUAAGCCUGUGAAGGUGUACUGUGAGGUAUGCUGGAGGUAUCAGAAGUGCGAAUGCUGACAUAAGUAACGAUAAAGCGGGUGAAAAGCCCGCUCGCCGGAAGACCAAGGGUUCCUGUCCAACGUUAAUCGGGGCAGGGUGAGUCGACCCCUAAGGCGAGGCCGAAAGGCGUAGUCGAUGGGAAACAGGUUAAUAUUCCUGUACUUGGUGUUACUGCGAAGGGGGGACGGAGAAGGCUAUGUUGGCCGGGCGACGGUUGUCCCGGUUUAAGCGUGUAGGCUGGUUUUCCAGGCAAAUCCGGAAAAUCAAGGCUGAGGCGUGAUGACGAGGCACUACGGUGCUGAAGCAACAAAUGCCCUGCUUCCAGGAAAAGCCUCUAAGCAUCAGGUAACAUCAAAUCGUACCCCAAACCGACACAGGUGGUCAGGUAGAGAAUACCAAGGCGCUUGAGAGAACUCGGGUGAAGGAACUAGGCAAAAUGGUGCCGUAACUUCGGGAGAAGGCACGCUGAUAUGUAGGUGAAGUCCCUCGCGGAUGGAGCUGAAAUCAGUCGAAGAUACCAGCUGGCUGCAACUGUUUAUUAAAAACACAGCACUGUGCAAACACGAAAGUGGACGUAUACGGUGUGACGCCUGCCCGGUGCCGGAAGGUUAAUUGAUGGGGUUAGCGCAAGCGAAGCUCUUGAUCGAAGCCCCGGUAAACGGCGGCCGUAACUAUAACGGUCCUAAGGUAGCGAAAUUCCUUGUCGGGUAAGUUCCGACCUGCACGAAUGGCGUAAUGAUGGCCAGGCUGUCUCCACCCGAGACUCAGUGAAAUUGAACUCGCUGUGAAGAUGCAGUGUACCCGCGGCAAGACGGAAAGACCCCGUGAACCUUUACUAUAGCUUGACACUGAACAUUGAGCCUUGAUGUGUAGGAUAGGUGGGAGGCUUUGAAGUGUGGACGCCAGUCUGCAUGGAGCCGACCUUGAAAUACCACCCUUUAAUGUUUGAUGUUCUAACGUGGACCCGUAAUCCGGGUUGCGGACAGUGUCUGGUGGGUAGUUUGACUGGGGCGGUCUCCUCCUAAAGAGUAACGGAGGAGCACGAAGGUUGGCUAAUCCUGGUCGGACAUCAGGAGGUUAGUGCAAUGGCAUAAGCCAGCUUGACUGCGAGCGUGACGGCGCGAGCAGGUGCGAAAGCAGGUCAUAGUGAUCCGGUGGUUCUGAAUGGAAGGGCCAUCGCUCAACGGAUAAAAGGUACUCCGGGGAUAACAGGCUGAUACCGCCCAAGAGUUCAUAUCGACGGCGGUGUUUGGCACCUCGAUGUCGGCUCAUCACAUCCUGGGGCUGAAGUAGGUCCCAAGGGUAUGGCUGUUCGCCAUUUAAAGUGGUACGCGAGCUGGGUUUAGAACGUCGUGAGACAGUUCGGUCCCUAUCUGCCGUGGGCGCUGGAGAAUUGAGGGGGGCUGCUCCUAGUACGAGAGGACCGGAGUGGACGCAUCACUGGUGUUCGGGUUGUCAUGCCAAUGGCACUGCCCGGUAGCUAAAUGCGGAAGAGAUAAGUGCUGAAAGCAUCUAAGCACGAAACUUGCCCCGAGAUGAGUUCUCCCUGAC
rnacentral:rRNA from 1 species